AGAAAAUCAGAAGAGCAAAAGUAAGAAAACUCAUGGGCUGGGAUGAAACAGUUUAAUAACUGAAAUAAGAUAAUAAUAAUAAUUAAUAAUGGUAAUGAAAAGGAAAAUAACAAAAAGUUAAAUAAACCCCAAGAAAAACAAGCGAUGCCAAUGAAAAACAACUGGUCAACACCAACCAACCAAUGUCCAGCCUAUUCAUGAGUGGCCAGCUUUCCCCCUAGUUUAUAUGAUGAGCAUGAUGCCGUAUGGGAUGGAAUAACCCUUUGGUCAGUUGGGGUCAGCUGUCCCCUCCCAGGUUAUUGUGCACCCCCAACCUCCUUACUGGCAGGGCAGCAUGAGAAGCCAAAAAGCCCUUGACUUAAGAGUAAGCACUGCUUAGCAACAAAAACAUGUGUUAUCAAUAUUAUUUCCAUCCUAAAUCCAAAACACUGUACUACACCGGCUACUAGGAAGAAAUUAACCCCAUCUCAGCAAAAACCAGGACAACCUGGAAAAAAAAUUGUAGACAAAAACACUUUGGGUAUGCUGACAGGUAGAGAGUAGUAAAAAGACACCAGUAAACUACAGGGGGAAAAAAAAACAAAACCUAAACUUAAUUUUAAAAAUACUACUGUUUCUAUUCAGUUAAUGCAGGUGCUUUACUAAUUAAAUACAAAAAACAGGAUCAAGCUCUGUUUAGACUACAUUUCCACAGCCAUGUCCUGAAAUCAUUAUGAGCUUAAACACUCUGCACCUCCCCCCUCUCUCGGUCCUGCGGGUAAAAGUGUUUGUGGAAUUACAAGAUGAACUGGACCAGUGAACUGACCUGGGAUGGAUAAUCCCCUUGGGAUGGGGGAGGGAGAGAGAAAUCAGCCCAGGACAGCCCUGUGAGUACUAACAGGCAGCUGCCACAAACACAGGGUUUGGUUGUCUUGUACAUCUACAAAAGAAUUAUUUAACCCUUUCUUUAGCCUCCACAUCUCUUAGCAGUCCCAGUUAUGUCAAUGGGACAAUACUUCAGUUCACUAUAAAAACAGAAUUUUAGAAACUCUUCAGGCUCAC